ensembl:ncRNA F10E9.20 ncRNA
ACACUCAUAUUUACAAAAGAAUGGCGCCUCUCACGGAGGUACACACACUGGUUGGUGAGAUAUCAAGUUUCAAAGAAAAAAACGAAGGUGCACUUUGUGUCUCAUACUCUCAGGUAUCAUGCUCACACUCCGGAAGCAUUUUUCUAUGA